rnacentral:rRNA from 1 species
UACGUAGGGCGCGAGCGUUGUCCGGAAUCAUUGGGCGUAAAGAGCUCGUAGGCGGCCGGUUGCGUCUGCUGUGAAAUCCCGGGGCUUAACCCCGGGCGUGCAGUGGAUACGGGCUGGCUGGAGGCAGGCAGGGGAGAAUGGAAUUCCCGGUGUAGCGGUGAAAUGCGCAGAUAUCGGGAGGAACACCGGUGGCGAAGGCGGUUCUCUGGGCCGAUACUGACGCUGAGGAGCGAAAGCAUGGGUAGCGAACAGG